GACGAACGCUGGCGGCGUGCUUAACACAUGCAAGUCGAACGGAAAGGCCCUGCAUUUGUGGGGUGCUCGAGUGGCGAAAGGGUGAGUAACACGUGAGUAACCUGCCCUUGAGUUUGGGAUAACUUCAGGAAACUGGGGCGAAUAACGGAUAGGCGCUCCUGCUGCAUGGUGGGGGUUGGGAAUUUCCGGCGGUUGGGGAUGGACUCGCGGCUUAUCAGCUUGUUGGUGGGGUAGCGGCUUACCAGGGCUUUGACGGGUAGACGGCCUGAGAGGGUGACCGGCCACAUUGGGACUGAGAUACGGCCCAGCCUCCUACGGGAGGCAGCAGUGGGGAAUAUUGCACAAUGGGCGGGAGCCUGAUGCAGCAACGCCGCGUGCGGUAUGACGGCCUUCGGGUUGUAAACCGCUUUCGCCUGUGACGAAGCGUGAGUGACGGUAAUGGGUAAAGAAGCACCGGCUAACUACGUG
rnacentral:rRNA from 1 species